UCCCUGGUGGACUAGUGGCUAGCAUGUGGUGCUCUCUUUGCCGUAGUCCAGGUUCGAUUCUUGGUCAGGGAA
rnacentral:tRNA from 1 species